rnacentral:rRNA from 1 species
UGGGGAAUAUUGCACAAUGGGGGAAACCCUGAUGCAGCGACGCCGCGUGAGCGAAGAAGGCUUUCGAGUCGUAAAGCUCUGUCCUAUGAGAAGAUAAUGACGGUAUCAUAGGAGGAAGCCCUGGCUAAAUACGUGCCAGCAGCCGCGGUAAUACGUAUGGGGCGAGCGUUGUCCGGAAUUAUUGGGUUUAAAGGGUGCGUAGGUUGCAAGGGAAGUCAGGGGUGAAAAGCUAUAGCUCAACUAUGGUCUUGCCUUUGAAACUCUCUAGCUAGAGUGUACUGGAGGUACGUGGAACGUGUGGUGUAGCGGUGAAAUGCUUAGAUAUCAUGACGAACUCCGAUUGCGCAGGCAGCUUACUGUAGCAUAACUGACGCUGAUGCUCGAAAGUGCGGGUAUCAAACAGG